rnacentral:rRNA from 1 species
CCUUCAUGAAGCCGGAAUUGCUAGUAAUGGCAGGUCAGCAUACUGCCGUGAAUACGUUCCCGGGCCUUGUACACACCGCCCGUCACACCGUGAGAGUUGGGGAUACCCGAAGCCUGUGAGCUAACUAUUUAUAGGAGCAGCAGUCGAAGGUAGAAUCAAUGAUUGGGGUGAAGUCGUAACAAGGUACC